rnacentral:rRNA from 1 species
AUUUUCUUCGGAACUGAAGAUUUGGUGAUUGAGUGGCGGACGGGUGAGUAACGCGUGGGUAACCUGCCCUGUACAGGGGGAUAACAGUUGGAAACGGCUGCUAAUACCGCAUAAGCGCACAGUACCGCAUGGUACAGUGUGAAAAACUCCGGUGGUAUGAGAUGGACCCGCGUCUGAUUAGCUAGUUGGCAGGGCAGCGGCCUACCAAGGCGACGAUCAGUAGCCGACCUGAGAGGGUGACCGGCCACAUUGGGACUGAGACACGGCCCAAACUCC